rnacentral:tRNA from 1 species
GAGACUUCUAUAAGGCAAAAGGUAACUGCCUUCUAAGCAGUAGGCCUCGGGUUCGAAUCCCGACGGAAUCA